rnacentral:rRNA from 1 species
UACGUAGGGUGCGAGCGUUAAUCGGAAUUACUGGGCGUAAAGGGUGCGUAGGCGGUUAGUUAAGUCUGUUGUGAAAUCCCCGGGCUCAACCUGGGAAUGGCAAUGGAUACUGGCUGGCUAGAGUGUGUCAGAGGAUGGUGGAAUUCCCGGUGUAGCAGUGAAAUGCGUAGAGAUCGGGAGGAACAUCAGUGGCGAAGGCGGCCAUCUGGGACAACACUGACGCUGAAGCAUGAAAGCGUGGGGAGCAAACAGG